rnacentral:ncRNA from 1 species
AUUAAUCCUAUGAAAAGGAGAAGUAACUAAAUUUAGAUUCAAUUAAGAGAGUUAAGGAUGGUGAAAUCUUAGCAAGAAAAAAUUUAGUGAAUGGACCUUAGAGGAAUUAGCAGAAAUUUUUAUAAGAGUAUGUGAUAUGGUGGCCUGCACCUUAUAGCAGGUAAAGUAUAUUAGUACUUGAAUUUAAGAGGUAUAAUUUUAAAUUAUACAAUUUAGGUGGUACCGCGGAUUAACUCCGUCCUAUAA